UACGGAGGAUCCGAGCGUUAUCCGGAUUUAUUGGGUUUAAAGGGAGCGUAGGUGGAUUGUUAAGUCAGUUGUGAAAGUUUGCGGCUCAACCGUAAAAUUGCAGUUGAAACUGGCAGUCUUGAGUACAGUAGAGGUGGGCGGAAUUCGUGGUGUAGCGGUGAAAUGCUUAGAUAUCACGAAGAACUCCGAUUGCGAAGGCAGCUCACUAGACUGUCACUGACACUGAUGCUCGAAAGUGUGGGUAUCAAACAGG
rnacentral:rRNA from 3 species